rnacentral:siRNA from 1 species
CCAAGUGACAGCUAUGCAAACCA